CACUCUGCUUCUGGCUUCUGCAUAUUUACCGCUGAACAUGGCUGCCAUUACGUCACAGCGCGCCACAAGAACCGCCCGGUGUGCUGGCAGGACGCUCCCUGUGACACAGACACGGUUUACAGCGCCGUGUCAGAGAGGCACAUACACAGGAGGGGGUCUUUCACAACUAGACGUGAGAGUCGUCCUGCCGGGUGCCCGUCAGAUCUUGGAAGAUCAUCAAUAAUGCUCCCGUCCCAAGUGGAGAGCAGAGAAUGGGGUCCUCCGUCCCGCUCCCUGCAGACACAUCGUGACUGUGGACGUUCCCUGGCCAAUUAGAAAUGACACACAGCGCAAACAGAGACUGGCUUACAGAUGUGACUUCUGCUGCCUCCAGACUGAAGUGGAAAUAUUAGACUCUUUAGAGUCUGACCUGCACAGGUUCUAAUGUCACUCUAACCUGGUCUUGGGACCCAGGAGAAGCUGUCUGAAAUAUGGGCUGACAGCACACAGCACACAUGCAUGGGCCCACCCAAGUUCUUUUCCAGAGUCUCCAGCGUAGAAAGCCACAUCAGCGAACUGCAAGCCACGCUCCAACAACCACUGCAUGUCUUGGGAGAAGCUGGACUCUUCCACACGAAUCGGAGGAAGACGUGCUGUAUGGACAGACAGAUAAAUGGAGUGAUAACAAAGAAAACAAAAAAAGGAAGAUUAAAAUUGAAAGUGUGAUUACCAACCCAGCCAGUGUGUGGGUUUACUUGAUCUGUACCAGAAUUAAACAGACACGAGGAUUGCACAUACCUUUAGAGACUUGGGGGAAUCACAUGGAAUCAUCUGCAUCUGGCCUGAACUUUUUAGCCUGGUCUCACAUUCAAAUGUUGACUGACAACUACUUCAUCUUUGAUUGUCUCCAAAAAGCAAAGAUAACCCACAAUUCUUUCAAGACCAAAGCUGUUGCAGUGCAGGUGUGUUGCUGGAGGUCAUAGGUCAACAACCUUUUUGAACCUGAGACCUCCUUCAAAGGCGCUUAGUAAAAGAGAGUUUCUUGUUUGAUACAGACUUCCCGAACAAUGUAAUAAUUAAUCAGAAAACUAACGCUGCUCUGUCAAGUUCUGGGACAUACGACAGCAGACAUUCUGCUUGUCCAGACAAGCAUGCUGAAACGCUUAGAACUUAAAACUGAAC